ensembl:lncRNA
GUAAGGGAACAGGGAUACUGGAGUGAUGGAGGUAGAUAUGUAUAGGGGUUAGGGAACAGGGAUACUGGAGUGAUGGAGGUAGAUAUGUAUAGGGGUAAGGGAACAGGGAUACUGGAGUGAUGGAGGUAGAUAUGUAUAGGGGUAAGGGGACAGGGAUACUGGAGUGAUGGAGGUAGAUAUGUAUAGGGGUAAGGGGACAGGGAUACUGGAGUGAUGGAGGUAGAUAUGUAUAGGGGUAAGGUGACAGGGAUACUGGAGUGAUGGAGGUAGAUAUGUAUAGGGGUAAGGUGACAGGGAUACUGGAGUGAUGGAGGUAGAUAUGUAUAGGGGUAAGGUGACAGGGAUACUGGAGUGAUGGAGGUAGAUAUGUAUAGGGGUAAGGUGACAGGGAUACUGGAGUGUUGGAGGUAGAUAUGUAUAGGGGGAAGGGGACAGGCAUACUGGAGUGAUGGAGGUAGAUAUGUAGAGGGGUAAGGUGACAGGGAUACUGGAGUGAUGGAUGUAGAUAUGUAUAGGGGUAAGGUGACAAAAUACAG